rnacentral:rRNA from 1 species
UACGUAGGGUGCAAGCGUUGUCCGGAAUUAUUGGGCGUAAAGAGCUCGUAGGCGGUCUGUCGCGUCUGCUGUGAAAUCUCGGGGCUUAACCCCGGGCUUGCAGUGGGUACGGGCAGACUAGAGUGCGGUAGAGGAGACUGGAAUUCCUGGUGUAGCGGUGAAAUGCGCAGAUAUCAGGAGGAACACCGGUGGCGAAGGCGGGUCUCUGGGCCGUAACUGACGCUGAGGAGCGAAAGCGUGGGGAGCGAACAGG